rnacentral:rRNA from 1 species
GAUGAACGCUGGCGGCGUGCCUAAUACAUGCAAGUCGAGCGAACAGACGAGGAGCUUGCUCCUCUGACGUUAGCGGCGGACGGGUGAGUAACACGUGGAUAACCUACCUAUAAGACUGGGAUAACUUCGGGAAACCGGAGCUAAUACCGGAUAAUAUAUUGAACCGCAUGGUUCAAUAGUGAAAGACGGUUUUGCUGUCACUUAUAGAUGGAUCCGCGCCGCAUUAGCUAGUUGGUAAGGUAACGGCUUACCAAGGCAACGAUGCGUAGCCGACCUGAGAGGGGGAUCGGCCACACUGGACCUGGGACACGGUCCAGACUCCUACGGGAGGCGGCAGUAGGGAAUCUUCCGCAAUGGGCGAAAGCCUGACGGAGCAACGCCGCGUGAGUGAUGAAGGUCUUCGGAUCGUAAAACUCUGUUAUUAGGGAGGAACAAAUGUGUAAGUAACUAUGCACGUCUUGACGGUACCUAAUCAGAAAGCCACGGCUAACUACGUG